rnacentral:rRNA from 1 species
CCUGAUGCAGCCAUGCCGCGUGUGUGAGAAGGCCUUCGGGUUGUAAAGCACUUUCAGCGAGGAGGAAAGGUUGGUAGCUAAUAACUGCCAGCUGUGACGUUACUCGCAGAAGAAGCACCGGCUAACUCCGUGCCAGCAGCCGCGGUAAUACGGAGGGUGCAAGCGUUAAUCGGAAUUACUGGGCGUAAAGCGCACGCAGGCGGUUGGAUAAGUUAGAUGUGAAAGCCCCGGGCUCAACCUGGGAAUUGCAUUUAAAACUGUCCAGCUAGAGUCUUGUAGAGGGGGGUAGAAUUCCAGGUGUAGCGGUGAAAUGCGUAGAGAUCUGGAGGAAUACCGGUGGCGAAGGCGGCCCCCUGGACAAAGACUGACGCUCAGGUGCGAAAGCGUGGGGAGCAAACAGGAUUAGAUACCCCGGUAGUC